CCUACGGGAGGCAGCAGUGAGGAAUAUUGGUCAAUGGACGAAAGUCUGAACCAGCCAAGUAGCGUGAAGGAUGACUGCCCUAUGGGUUGUAAACUUCUUUUAUAAAGGAAUAAAACGAGGCACGUGUGCCUUUUUGCAUGUACUUUAUGAAUAAGGAUCGGCUAACUCCGUGCCCACAGCCGCGGUAAUACGGAGGAUCCGAGCGUUAUCCGGAUUUAGUGGGUUUAAAGGGAGCGUAGAUGGGUUGUUAAGUCAGUUGUGAAAGUUUGCGGCUCAACCGUAAAAUUGCAAUUGAUACUGGCAGUCUUGAGUACAGUUGAGGUAGGCGGAAUUCGUGGUGUAGCGGUGAAAUGCUUAGAUAUCACGAAGAACCCCGAUGGCGAAAGCAGCUUACUAAACUGUGACUGACAUUGAUGCUCGAAAGUGUGGGUAUCAAACAGGAUUAGAUACCCCUGUAGUC
rnacentral:rRNA from 1 species